rnacentral:rRNA from 2 species
UACGGAGGAUGCAAGCGUUAUCCGGAAUGAUUGGGCGUAAAGGGUCCGCAGGUGGCAGUGUAAGUCUGCUGUCAAAGAAUGAGGCUUAACCUCAUCAAGGCAGUGGAAACUACACAGCUAGAGUACGGUCGGGGUAGAAGGAAUUCCUGGUGUAGCGGUGAAAUGCGUAGAGAUCAGGAAGAACACCGGUGGCGAAAGCGUUCUGCUAGACCUGUACUGACACUGAGGGACGAAAGCUAGGGGAGCGAAUGGG